AGCGAACGCUGGCGGCAGGCCUAACACAUGCAAGUCGAACGAACCUUUCGGGGUUAGUGGCGGACGGGUGAGUAACACGUGGGAACGUGCCUUUAGGUUCGGAAUAACUCAGGGAAACUUGUGCUAAUACCGAAUGUGCCCUUCGGGGGAAAGAUUAAUCGCCUUUAGAGCGGCCCGCGUCUGUUUAGCUAGUUGGUUGAGGUAAUGGCUCACCAAGGCGACGAUCAGUAGCUGGUCUGAGAGGAUGAUCAGCCACAUUGGGACUGAGGCACGGCCCAAACUCCUACGGGAGGCAGCAGUGGAGAAUCUUGCGCAAUGGGCGAAAGCCUGACGCAGCCAUGCCGCGUGAAUGAUGAAGGUCUUAGGAUUGUAAAAUUCUUUCAACGGGGACGAUAAUGACGGUACCCGGAGAAGAAGCCCCGGCUAACUUCGUG
rnacentral:rRNA from 1 species